rnacentral:lncRNA from 1 species
UAAGGGGUGGACAACUUAAAUCAAGAGUUUUCCGCUAAUACGCACAAACCUCCCAGCAGAAGUUAAGUCGAGCUGCUGUUCAGUUAGAGGGUUUAGGACACCGCACUUUCCCCCUUCAUUCAAGGGCUAGGACACCGCACUUUCCUUCAUAGAAGAGAAAAGAAGAAGAGGGGAAAAAAAGAUGUUAAGGAACAUCGCUAUGUAUAUACUUUGUAUUCAGACCUUCCGUCCGC